rnacentral:rRNA from 1 species
UGUCGUAACAAGGUUUCCGUAGGUGAACCUGCGGAAGGAUCAUUCGCACAAAGAAUAUCUUUUACACCCGCCACGCACCACACAGUGCUUUCUGUUUUUAAUCAGGAUUUAUAUCCAACUCGUCGAUGUUGCGAUUCCAUUGCAAUGUAUGCGAUGUUAUCUAUCUCUUGCGACGACGAAUGCCUUGGCUCGAGGAUCGUUGAAGGACGCAGCGAACUGUGCUAAACAUCUCGAAUUGCAGAUUUCCGAGAAAGAAAAGGAUUCUGAACGCACUUUGCGAAUUGACCUCGUGUCAGUUCACUUGAUUGGCGGUGACCGCAAUAUGCAGUCGCUCGAACUCCGAAGUUUGAGUGGUGUGCACGUGUUGUUGCAGAUUGUUGCACCGACAUGUUCGUAGAAUUCGACGCGCCUCUCGUUUUCGAGCAGCAUUAUGACUUCGUGUUAUGAUGUUCGAAAGCAGGGACCGUUUCUUGUUUGGGUUUCCAAACGAUUCUUUCGCACGCUCACGACCAGUCAAGGGAUUACCCGCUGAAUUUAAGCAUAUAAAUAAGCGGAGGACAUCAAACUAACCAGGAUUCCCCUAGUAAUGGCGAAUGAACAGGGAAGAGCUCAAAUCUAUAACCGUGUUUACGGAUACGGAAUGUGGCCUCGUGUGCAUUCACCAGCUGCUCCUACGUCGUUAGUUGUUUGGAACAACGCACAACAACGGGUGAAAGUCCCAUCUGUCGACCUUAUGGAGGCGCGUACGGUGUUUGUUCCCCGAGUCGCGCACCCUGGGACGGGUGCGUAAAUUCGGUGGUAAGUUUCAUCGAAAGCUCAAUAUUUCCUCGAGUCCGAUAGCGAACAAGUACCAUGAGGGAAAGGUGAAAAGUACUUUGAAAAGAGAGUUAAACGUGCCUGAAAUCGUUGUGAAUCAAGCGAUUGGAAUCAACGUCGUUAAGGAAUUGGGACUCUAAGUGUGUCAUCUGGCUUCAACGAGUAUUCGUUUUGGUUUGUUUGGCGUGUUUAGUUGUUCCGGAUCCCUUGAAGACAUCUGACACUGGUGGAUAAGCCGUCUACACCGCUAAUUGAAAUCUCUCCGGAGUGAUCUUUUGGAAGUGGCGGCUUUUGCACUGGCGGUACGCACAUCAUUGGAUCGUUCGUGAGCUAUGAUCGUGUUAUUCUCUGUCGUAUUUUCGGCUUGAGUGCACGUGAUUAGGGAGCGGGCUCGAAGUGAUGUGUGGUGUCAGACUCGCAGGUUUCAAUUGGCUCGUCUUGAAACACGAACCAAGGAGUUCAUACGCAUGUGCGAGUAUGUGAGCCAUUACGCUCAUAUGCGAAAUGAAAGUGAAAGGCAGAAUGUAAGCUCUGCCGACCGACUACAUUCUUCGGCGUGAAGUUCGAGUGUGAGCGCAUGUGUUGGGACCCGAAAGAUGGUGAACUAUGCGUGA